rnacentral:rRNA from 1 species
AGUGAACGCUGGCGGUAGGCCUAACACAUGCAAGUCGAACGGCAGCACAGUAAGAGCUUGCUCUUACGGGUGGCGAGUGGCGGACGGGUGAGGAAUACAUCGGAAUCUACUUUUUCGUGGGGGAUAACGUAGGGAAACUUACGCUAAUACCGCAUACGACCUACGGGUGAAAGCAGGGGAUCUUCGGACCUUGCGCGAUUGAAUGAGCCGAUGUCGGAUUAGCUAGUUGGCGGGGUAAAGGCCCACCAAGGCGACGAUCCGUAGCUGGUCUGAGAGGAUGAUCAGCCACACUGGAACUGAGACACGGUCCAGACUCCUACGGGAGGCAGCAGUGGGGAAUAUUGGACAAUGGGCGCAAGCCUGAUCCAGCCAUACCGCGUGGGUGAAGAAGGCCUUCGGGUUGUAAAGCCCUUUUGUUGGGAAAGGAAAGCAGCAUGUUAAUACCCCGCUGUUCUGACGGUACCCAAAGAAUAAGCACCGGCUAACUUCGUG